AGCGAACACUGGCGGCAGGCCUAACACAUGCAAGUCGAACGAAGUCUUCGGACCUAGUGGCGGACGGGUGAGUAACACGUGGGAACGUGCCUUUAGGUUCGGAAUAACUCAGGGAAACUUGUGCUAAUACCGAAUGUGCCCUUCGGGGGAAAGAUUUAUCGCCUUUAGAGCGGCCCGCGUCUGAUUAGCUAGUUGGUGAGGUAAAGGCUCACCAAGGCUACGAUCAGUAGCUGGUCCGAGAGGAUGACCAGCCACAUUGGGACUGAGACACGGCCCAAACUCCUACGGGAGGCAGCAGUGGGGAAUCUUGCGCAAUGGGCGAAAGCCUGACGCAGCCAUGCCGCGUGGAUGAUGAAGGUCUUAGGAUUGUAAAAUCCUUUCACCGGUGAAGAUAAUGACUGUAGCCGGAGAAGAAGCCCCGGCUAACUUCGUGCCAGCAGCCGCCGUAACAC
rnacentral:rRNA from 1 species